AUGUCUUUGCUCUCCUGGGAAUUCUGUUCUCUCACAACAUCUUUCUGAAUAAUCACUUUCCAUCGAGAGGGGAGUUUAAUCUUUCCAUUGAACUAUAUGGUGAUGGAAGAGGCCAGUGGUUCCAAGGGCAGAAGAGAAGGCUGGUACUACCCUUGGGCAUGGGAGAAACAUUAGGAUCAAGAGCACAGCUACUGGAGCCAGACUGCCUGAUCUGAAUUUCAUUCUGCUACCAGCUAUAUUUGGAAAUUGAAGAAUGCAAUGGAAAACAACAAGAAAAAGGCAAGGAGUCAGAGACAUCCCUGCCACGCGGCACAGAGAUUUAUAACUCUGAGCAAAGGUUUCAACAAAUACUAUUUCUUUACUCCAAAGUCCAUCUAUGUGUGCUUCCUGAAAUAAAGAACAGAGCAUUUCUGUCUUCUGGUCUCUAAUCCCAGGAGCCUUAGCAGCAGAGGCUGGGGGAGUUCCAAAAGGUCUUCUUAUAACUCUGGAGAUAAUGACUGGCUCAAACAAGCUGGCGCCGUGUGGGGACACCCAUAGACUUUAUUUAUCUCUCUCUGUCUCUUUUUUUUUCAGGCUGACAUAGUGUCUGCACUGACAUACCCAGUCCAGAAAAAAGAAACUGUGUCUGUUAUAACUUUUACUUAAGUGGUAUAAGUGGAAAGAUCAUAACGCAAAGAUUUGUUGAAAACACACUUCUUAUCCAGACAAUCCAUUGUAAUGUUUCAAUUAAAAAGUUCUACUCACAGAAAGAGAUUUAAAAAAAAAAAAGAAGAAGGACAAGAUCUGGGAUUAAGUUUAACGACCUGGAACAGGCAAAGAACAUAAUAAAAUUUCGGAUUCGGUA